rnacentral:ncRNA from 1 species
UGAACAGUGAUGCCGAGGAUAUGAUUAUGUUUUGAAGGGCGUCCAGAGAGAAGAUGUCACAGGCUGAAAACAUCUUUACGCAUACCAUGCAUGAUUACCACCUCUAAACUGCCUAGCCGAACUUAAGUAAGCUUUGCCGGGGUAUUUCCCCGUUAUCAAAAUCUGAGAUGGCGUUUUGCCAAAACAGGGUGGAACCACGGGUAUAAAACUCUCGUCCCUACA